GCACAGGAGAGCAGCAGCAGAAUCAUUGAGGCAUCCCAUCAUCCCAGAAGUUUAGAUUUACCAAGCACUUAGUAAAUCGUAAGCACUAUGAGUGGGUGUUUUCACACUGUUUUCCCCAGGGUAUUUAAUAUGAACUAUGAAUACUGUUGUCUAAAUUCAAAUAUUAGGAAACUCUGGGUGCUUGAGCUGGGCAUGGUGGCAUAUGCCUUUAAUCCCAGGCCUCAGGAGGUCUGCAGAUAGAGCCAUAUCUCUGUUAGUUCUAGGCCAGCCUGGACUACAAAGUGAGUCCUAGAUAGCCAGGACUUAGAACAGAGAGAAACCCUGUCUCAAAAAAAAAAAAAAAACCAAAAAAACAAAAAA
rnacentral:lncRNA from 1 species